AUUGAACGCUGGCGGCAGGCCUAACACAUGCAAGUCGAGCGAGCGGCGGACGGGUGAGUAAUGUAUGGGGACUGCCCGAUAGCGGGGGAUAACUACUGGAAGCGGUAGCUAAUACCGCAUACUAUCGGAUAACCCAUAUGGGAUUAGCUAGUAGGGGGGGUAAUGGCUCACCUAGGCGACGAUCCCUAGCUGGUCUGAGAGGAUGAUCAGCCACAUUGGGACUGCGAUACGGCCCAGAGUCCUACGGAGGGAGCAGUGGGGGAUAUUGCACAAUGGGCGAAAGCCUGAUGCAGCGACGCUGCGUGGGGGAUGAAGGCUUUCGGGUUGUAAACCUCUUUCGCUAUCGAACGGGUAGGUGGAGAAGAAGCGCCGGCUAACUACGUGCCAGCAGCCGCGGUAAUAC
rnacentral:rRNA from 1 species